rnacentral:lncRNA from 1 species
UUCAUUUUUUUUUUCACAUAAAAAUUUUCAUAUCUAAAAAUCACAAUAUAAACUUCAGUUAAUAUAAUGAUUUUUAUAUAUGAAGCUUAAAUUUUUCAUCCUUUUUUAUUAUUCAAUUAGAAAUAUGAAAUCUUUUAAUAAAUUUUAAAACUAAUAUAUAAGUUAAUGCAUCAGAAUUAAAAUACAGUAGUCUUCGACUUAGGACUAAUUCAUAUGACUAGAAUAUCAUUUAUAAAUUUUUACUAUUGGUCAGUGCAGUUGACCUGGAUUCAAUUCCAGACCCAAUGGUGUGAUAUACAGAAAUUCUUUUUUUUAUCUGAAUCUUGUAGUUUUGUAUUCUCUAUAUUUAUUAAGAUAACAUAUAAUGACCUAGUAGACAUUAGUAGUGAAAAAAUCCAUAAAUUUUGGAUUUCUGACUUACAGUGGGAAUGUUUGAAAUUUUUGAAAUCACACUUUGUCAUAAGUUGAGGACUACUUAUAUAUCCUUUUCUUUAUGUAUUAUGUUAUAUUAAAAAAAAUUAAUUUAAAAUUAAAGAUAUUAGGUAUUUAAAAAUAUGGAAUAUUG